rnacentral:rRNA from 1 species
UACGUAGGGUGCAAGCGUUGUCCGGAAUUAUUGGGCGUAAAGAGCUCGUAGGCGGUUCGUCACGUCGGCUGUGAAAUCCCGAGGCUCAACCUCGGGUCUGCAGUCGAUACGGGCGGACUGGAGUACUGCAGGGGAGACUGGAAUUCCUGGUGUAGCGGUGAAAUGCGCAGAUAUCAGGAGGAACACCGGUGGCGAAGGCGGGUCUCUGGGCAGUAACUGACGCUGAGGAGCGAAAGCAUGGGGAGCGAACAGA